ACUCCUACGGGAGGCAGCAGUGGGGAAUAUUGGACAAUGGGGGAAACCCUGAUCCAGCGACGCCGCGUGACUGAAGAAGUAUUUCGGUAUGUAAAGGUCUAUCAGCAGGGAAGAAAAUGACGGUACCUGACUAAGAAGCCCCGGCUAACUACGUGCCAGCAGCCGCGGUAAUACGUAGGGGGCAAGCGUUAUCCGGAUUUACUGGGUGUAAAGGGAGCGUAGACGGCGCUGCAAGUCUGGAGUGAAAGCCCGGGGCUCAACCCCGGGACUGCUUUGGAAACUGUGGCGCUGGAGUGCAGGAGAGGUAAGUGGAAUUCCUAGUGUAGCGGUGAAAUGCGUAGAUAUUAGGAGGAACACCAGUGGCGAAGGCGGCUUACUGGACUGUAACUGACGUUGAGGCUCGAAAGCGUGGGGAGCAAACAGGAUUAGAUACCCUGGUAGUCCACGCCGUAAACGAUGAGUGCUAGGUGUAGAGGGUAUCGACCCCUUCUGUGCCGCAGUUAACACAAUAAGCACUCCGCCUGGGGAGUACGGCCGCAAGGUG
rnacentral:rRNA from 1 species